rnacentral:misc_RNA from 1 species
CGAUACGUGUUUUUCGCAUUGACAGGAGCAUGCACUGGCAUAGCCAUCCUCAUCGAUUCGUGACAAACCCUACAAUGAUGCACAAAAACCGCAACCUAAAGAGAAGAGCUUGAUCGGGUAUAUGAAAGGGGUAAACUGGAACCAAAGUUAUUCUCCUGGUUUCCUGUUUGAUUCCCAGAACAGCUGCUAUAACAAUUGUCAGAUACUGUGAAACUCGCAAUUCACCGUCAAGAGCUCUUUUUAUGUUAACCUGAUCUUGGAUGAUCUUUUUUGCUAAGGUUGGCUUUUGAUCAAAGCCAUCGCACAAAAUGAGGAAGCUGCCGACGAGGUAAUAGCUUUCCUCCGUACCAAAAGGGUAGGGGAUGGUAAGGUUGCCACGAAUGUUUUGGCAGCUGUACUUGGGUGCAGGUGGUGAAGUCGCUGCUGCUGCUGACAAAAAUGAAGCCCAUUGUAGCAAUAGCUGCAAGAGCACCCUUCUCCACAAGACCAUGGUUUCCCAUGAUCUAUUCUGUUUUUAGGUUUGACAUUAUAUUUUCCAAUAGGGUUUUAGGGUUUAAGAAGAAAAACGAAGAAUCUGCAUAAUAUAUUCAGAUAUAAUCUGACAAAAUAUAUAUUGUUACAGGGCAAUCUGCAUGAUCGCCCUAAUAUAUAUCUAAUAUCGAUGAAAACAAAAAAAGUCGAAUUCAUCUGCAGUCUGAAUAUACAUGAUACAGUCUAGUGAAAUACAAUAUUAUAUUUUGAUUUUUUUUUUUCAAUUCUUCUACAAAAGACAUAUUUUGAUUUUCCAGUAUUCCUUUACAAAAGAAAAUCAUUACACAAGCAAGCAAGAAUCAUGAAUUAAUACAAUCAGAGAGACAAACUUAAAUUCACAUCAGGUUGAGGCUUGAAGACUACCUGGUACACUUGGAUUAACAUUGGUCAGAUGUUUUAAUCCUCUUUUGGCAUGAGUUCAAUCUGAGGACCCUCGUUCUACAAGAACUAGUGAAAAUGUAUCAUGCAUGGAAACCUUCUCAUUGUAUAUAGGAAGUAAGAUUGCGUUGAAUAAGACACUACAAGUCUAUAAGAGCAUCAUGGUAACAAGGGAGGCAGCAAACAGCACAAAAAAUACCAGAUCUUCACUAUAAAGGCCUGUGGAACAUGAAAUUCAAGUCAGGGAGAGGCAAGCAUAAAGUUGUGCAAAAAUGUAAAGGUUUCUAUUCCAAUUCCUUCAGGUUACUAGGCUAACUUGGAAACUUGAGGCAUUGCUCAAACGUAGACACGGUGCUCUCUAGGCAGAAGAUUUCAUAAUUCUUGCAAGUGCAGAUUGAUGAAGCAAGGAAAAAGUUUUUAGUUGAAAAUUUUUGUUUUAAAAGGAAGUUCCUAUGUGAGGGAUAGUAACCCUUCACACCCUGGAAGCUGGAACCAAGCAAUUUCAUAAAUAGCAUCUUUCAUAACCUGGAACUAAGUAAUUUCAGGAAUUUAUCCACAUCUUCCACCUCAUGUGCUGGUCAAAGAAAGCAGGCGGGCUAAGAUCCAGUGAAUUAACAAGGCUUGAAUGCCUAAUUAUUGCAUAUGAAUCAGAUUUGUUGAUAUGCAAAUACUACCAUCCCUAGUUCAGGAAACUUCACAACAAAAAUAGGAGCAGGCGUGGAGAAAAACCCAGCAGGUCUCAAGAGGUACUGAAAGCAAGGUUAACAAUCCUUAUGCCUAAUACAUAUUACGUAUAAUACUAUCUUUCUGUGCUGACCACAUUGUUAACCUAAGGCAAAAAAGCAUGAAUAUAAGCUAGUAGGCAUAGUUCUUACCACUUUGAGUAGAUGCAGCUGCCGGAAGUGCUGGAAUUUUCACAGUUUUAUUGCAUGAUGAUGCUGAUAAUUGAGACGAAGAGGGCCAUGGAGCAGGAAUAUUGUCAUUCAGAUCACAAAUAAAGCUGAUUCCAGAUGACUUAUCAAGUGUUGCAUCAGAAGGCAAGCUUGGUAGAAGGCAUCCAGACUCUUGCUUUGCAACUUGGAGUGAGAAAUCCUUGAGGCUUAUGUGACAAAGGCUAUAAACAUCUCUGGUAAUAUUUGACUUCUGUAACUUCAUUCCAAGAGUUCUAGCACAAUCCAACGCUUGCAAGUUGGUUAUGAGGCUCUGUUUCUGCAAGUGAGACACAUAGCUAUCCAUGGCACUACAGCAUCCUGUGGUGUUACUUAUCACAUUCCCGCAGCCCUUUGCAACAUGGCUCAUGUCAGGGAAAACCAGAGGGCAAACUGAGGCAGAAAGCAGAAGAGAAAAACUGAGAAAAGAGUAAGCAACCAAUGAGGCUCACCGAAGUGAUUUGUAUUUCUGGGUUAAGUUAAACCAGACAAGAACAAUAUGCAAACAUUAAGUGGUAUGGCUAGCCAAUGUGGAAAGAUGAUAUUCUCUUUAAAGAACUAAACAAACCACUAGCGCCCAUAUAUUAAGAACAUACAGAAAAUCCACCUACGCCAUCAAGUCUGCAUAUGCUUAGCAGUGAUGAGCCACAUAACUUCAUAAUUGGGAAUUUUCAAAUACACAAUUAGUUGCACACCUAAAGAGACAAAAGAAAGCAGAUUCCACAUGUUCAUGGAUGUUGUUUGAUGUUUCUGUACAGAGUAAUAGACACAUCUCUGCUUUUGGUGUUGAGAAAUUUCUUUAACAGAGCAGUCAACUAAUGUUCUGAAAACAGGCAGAAACUGAACAAAGACUAUUCAGGUGAUUUCUGACCAUAAUAGAUGAAGUUAGUUUUCUAUAUCCAUAUUUUCCAAGUCACCUUUAUUGACAUUGCAAUUAGAUAGUCCUCUGAGAACCUCCUUUGCAUGAGAAGGAUUAAGUUUACUUGCCAACCAUCGGAGAACAAUGUUUUUACAAUCAUUAACACUAGUUGAGUGCUGAGGUAAACCAUGGGUCCUAUCCAUGCUCAAGAUUUCAGAAGCUUUUAGCGCAAUUCGUGUAGCAGCUUCUGAUAUAGCAUUUUGACAUACUUGGUCACAACAUUCUUUCACAGGAUCAAUCUUCUCGCAUGCAGCAAGAAGCUUAGAUGAAUCCACAGUGCUCUCAAAUUCAUUCACAUCUUUAACUGGGCAAGACCCUUCAGUGAGAUUUGAGGGAUGAAUUGAGCAUAUUCUCUUAACAUUAGCUGCAGCGCCCUGACCUAUCAAAAUUUGCUCAAUGUCCGAAAGGCAAUGCUUGGAAAUAGUGCCAUUUAAAGCAAGCACUUUAGUCUCUUUACUGGAUUGACCAAUAAGAAUUGCAAGGGUGGCUUCUAACUGUGGACAACAUAUAACAUUAGCCAGCAAUGGUGCAAAAAAGGCCCAGCAAUCAAUUGAUGUCAUGCUCAUCAAGCUUUCAGCAGCAGUGAAGUUCAACGUACAGAGUCCUGAUAAUUUUGGUAUAGAACUGUUGGUGAAAGGUUGCAAUGGAGAAGGUGCAAGAAUAGGAAGAAAAGGCUGAGGAGCUGCAUUUGGUGAGAUCUCUGGAAGAAAAGCAUCCAACCGUCUGUCCAUCAAUGUAGAUCCUCUAAUAUAUUGAUUUUCAUUCAGACUUAAUAGCAACAAAAACACCUGGAGAAGAACCAUACUGGGACUGAAAUUGAGAGAUAACCCUUCAUUCAUGCCUCCAGCUUUAUGACACCCUAACAAAGAGAACAGUUAAAAAGGAAACAGAAACAAGAAGGUACCGAAAUAAUAGAAUAAAUGAAUAGGAAAAAACACAACUUUAAAGAAGAUUACGGCUUGGAAUUCAAAGUGUGGAAGUGGGUACAUGAGAAAACAGAGAAGAAAGAAACCAAACCAUGGAUCCAAUUGCAACCCUGUUUAAGAGUGUGGGGACUGAGAGGUGAGAGGAGUGCCAAGACCAGCUGUACUGGCUUGAG